rnacentral:rRNA from 1 species
AUACAGAGGGUGCAAGCGUUAAUCGGAUUUACUGGGCGUAAAGCGCGCGUAGGCGGCUAAUUAAGUCAAAUGUGAAAUCCCCGAGCUUAACUUGGGAAUUGCAUUCGAUACUGGUUAGCUAGAGUGUGGGAGAGGAUGGUAGAAUUCCAGGUGUAGCGGUGAAAUGCGUAGAGAUCUGGAGGAAUACCGAUGGCGAAGGCAGCCAUCUGGCCUAACACUGACGCUGAGGUGCGAAAGCAUGGGGAGCAAACAGUAUUAGAAACCCCAGUAGUCC